ACGGAGGUAGAGCACUGUAUAGGCUAGGGGUCCCACCGGAUUACCAAACCUUAACAAACUCCGAAUGCCGUCAAGUUCUAUCGCGGGAGUCAGACUGUGGGAGAUAAGUUCCAUGGUCGAGAGGGUAAGAGCCCAGACCGUCAGCUAAGGUCCCUAAACUGCACUAAGUGGAAAAGGAGGUGAAAUUGCUUAGACAACCAGGAGGUUGGCUUAGAAGCAGCAAUCCUUUAAAGAUAGCGUAAUAGCUCACUGGUCUAGUGAAUUUGCGCCGAAAAUGUAACGGGGCUUAAGUGCAGUACCGAAGCUACGGAUCGAGUAAUCGAUGGUAGGAGAACAUUGUGUAGGCCUGAGAAGGUGCAUCGUGAGGUGUGCUGGAGGUAUCACAAGAGCUUAUGUUGACACGAGUAGCGAUAAUGAAGGUGAAAAACCUUCACGCCGAAAGUCUAAGGUUUCCUGAAGUCAAGUUAAUCUGCUCAGGGUUAGUCGGCCCCUAAGGCGAGGCUGAAAAGCG
rnacentral:rRNA from 1 species